rnacentral:rRNA from 1 species
UACGUAGGGCGCAAGCGUUGUCCGGAAUUAUUGGGCGGAAAGAGCUCGUAGGUGGCGUGUCGCGUCUGCCGUGAAAGCCCAUGGCUUAACUGUGGGUCUGCGGUGGAUACGGGCAGGCUGGAGGCUGGUAGGGGCAAGCGGAAUUCCUGGUGUAGCGGUGAAAUGCGCAGAUAUCAGGAGGAACACCGGUGGCGAAGGCGGCUUGCUGGGCCAGUUCUGACGCUGAGGAGCGAAAGCGUGGGGAGCGAACAGG